GCGCAAGGACGACCUUGAGCCGCUCCCUGAUUUUUUGCGGGACGACCCGA
rnacentral:ncRNA from 1 species